AGAGUUUGAUCAUGGCUCAGAUUGAACGCUGGCGGCAGGCUUAACACAUGCAAGUCGAGCGGGGAAGGGUAGCUUGCUACCUGACCUAGCGGCGGACGGGUGAGUAAUGCUUAGGAAUCUGCCUAUUAGUGGGGGACAACAUUCCGAAAGGAAUGCUAAUACCGCAUACGCCCUACGGGGGAAAGCAGGGGAUCUUCGGACCUUGCGCUAAUAGAUGAGCCUAAGUCAGAUUAGCUAGUUGGUGGGGUAAAGGCCUACCAAGGCGACGAUCUGUAGCGGGUCUGAGAGGAUGAUCCGCCACACUGGGACUGAGACACGGCCCAGACUCCUACGGGAGGCAGCAGUGGGGAAUAUUGGACAAUGGGCGCAGCCAUGCCGCGUGUGUGAAGAAGGCCUUUUGGUUGUAAAGCACUUUAAGCGAGGAGGAGGCUACUUGGAUUAAUACUCUAGGAUAGUGGACGUUACUCGCAGAAUAAGCACCGGCUAACUCUGUGCCAGCAGCCGCGGUAAUACAGAGGGUGCGAGCGUUAAUCGGAUUUACUGGGCGUAAAGCGUGCGUAGGCGGCUUUUUAAGUCGGAUGUGAAAUCCCUGAGCUUAACUUAGGAAUUGCAUUCGAUACUGGGAAGCUAGAGUAUGGGAGAGGAUGGUAGAAUUCCAGGUGUAGCGGUGAAAUGCGUAGAGAUCUGGAGGAAUACCGAUGGCGAAGGCAGCCAUCUGGCCUAAUACUGACGCUGAGGUACGAAAGCAUGGGGAGCAAACAGGAUUAGAUACCCUGGUAGUCCAUGCCGUAAACGAUGUCUACUAGCCGUUGGGGCCUUUGAGGCUUUAGUGGCGCAGCUAACGCGAUAAGUAGACCGCCUGGGGAGUACGGUCGCAAGACUAAAACUCAAAUGAAUUGACGGGGGCCCGCACAAGCGGUGGAGCAUGUGGUUUAAUUCGAUGCAACGCGAAGAACCUUACCUGGUCUUGACAU
rnacentral:rRNA from 1 species